UUAGUGUCGGCUUUAAAACUGGCCUGAGAGCAGCUUUAAACCUCCAGCAACGUUUAACCUCCAGCAACGUUUCUCCAUUCCAGGUGCCGACUGCCGAGGGAUGCGGACUGGAGAUUAACGGUCCGAACCCGGAGUUUGGAGCAGCCGAUGUGGCCUGAUCCAGGUUUCUUCAUAACUCAGACUUCGCUUCUAGUAAAUGCGGUAAGGGCUGAGGCGGCAGUCGCGGCUCCGAGACCAGG